GACGAACGCUGGCGGCGUGCUUAACACAUGCAAGUCGAGCGAGAACCAGUCCCUUCGGGACGUGGGGACGAGCGGCGAACGGGUGAGUAACACGUGGGUAAUCUGCCCUCGAUUCUGGGAUAGCCCGGGGAAACCCGGAUUAAUACCGGAUAGCCUCUCGAGCUUACGAGCUCUUGAGAAAAGGUAGCUUCGGCCUCCGAUCGAGGAUGAGCCCGCGGCGGAUUAGCUAGUUGGGGGGGUUAAAGUGGCCUACCAAGGCAACGAUCCGUAGCUGGUCUGAGAGGACGAUCAGCCACACUGGGACUGAGACACGGCCCAGACUCCUACGGAGGCAGCAGUGGGGAAUCUUGCGCAAUGGGCGAAAGCCUGACGCAGCGACGCCG
rnacentral:rRNA from 1 species